GGCAGUCAGAGGCGAUGAAGGGCGUGCUAAUCUGCGAUAAGCGCCGGUAAGGUGAUAUGAACCGUUAUAACCGGCGAUACCCGAAUGGGGAAACCCAGUGUGACUCGUCACACUAUCAUUAACUGAAUCCAUAGGUUAAUGAGGCGAACCGGGGGAACUGAAACAUCUAAGUACCCCGAGGAAAAGAAAUCAACCGAGAUUCCCCCAGUAGCGGCGAGCGAACGGGGAGGAGCCCAGAGCCUGAAUCAGCAUGUGUGUUAGUGGAAGCGUCUGGAAAGGCGCGCGAUACAGGGUGACAGCCCCGUACACAAAAGCGCAUGUGCUGUGAGCUCGAUGAGUAGGGCGGGACACGUGGUAUCCUGUCUGAAUAUGGGGGGACCAUCCUCCAAGGCUAAAUACUCCUGACUGACCGAUAGUGAACCAGUACCGUGAGGGAAAGGCGAAAAGAACCCCGGCGAGGGGAGUGAAAAAGAACCUGAAACCGUGUACGUACAAGCAGUGGGAGC
rnacentral:rRNA from 1 species